rnacentral:rRNA from 1 species
CGAUAGCAAGUUGAGUGCACUAGUUCCCUAUGGAUCACUGAUGUUAAUCAACGUUGCGCGUGGUUGGUAUACGGAUGGGUGACCAACUGGACAAUCGCGUG